rnacentral:rRNA from 1 species
AUUGAACGCUGGCGGCAUGCUUUACACAUGCAAGUCGAACGGCAGCGCGGUCUUCGCCCUGGCUGCCAGUGGCCAACUGGUGAGCAGUUCAUGAGAACGUCCCCAGUUACUGGUGCUAGCGCGGCGACGGACGGAUUAUUACGCCAUUCGACCUUACGGUCUAAGCGGGGGACCGGAAGACCUUGCGCCAUUGCACCAGCCGAUGUCGGGAUGUCGGGUUGGUGGGGUAAAGGCUUACCAGGGCGACGAUCCGUAGCUGGUUUGAGAGGACGAGCAGCUAAACUGGGACUGAGACACGGCCCAGACUCCUACGGGAGGCAGCAGUGGGGAAUUUUGGACAAUGGGGGCAACCCUGAUCCAGCCAUGCCGCGUGCGAGAAGAAGGCCUUCGGGUUGUAAACCGCUUUUGUUCGGGAAGAAAUCCUCUGGGCUAAUACCCCGGGGGGAUGACGGUACCGGAAGAAUAAGCACCGGCUAACUACGUG